rnacentral:rRNA from 1 species
GCAGCCAUUCAUUAAAAGAGUGCGUAAUAGCUCACUAGUCGAGAGAUCUUGCGCCGAAAAUGUAACGGGGCUAAACUUACCACCGAAGCUACGGGCUUGAACUUAGUUCAAGCGGUAGGAGAGCGUCGUAACCGGGCUGAAGUCGUACCGUAAGGAGCGGUGGACUGGUUACGAGUGAGAAUGUUGGCAUCAGUAGCGAGAUGUGGGUGAGAAUCCCACAGGCCGAAAACCUAAGGUUUCCUCAGGAAGGUUCGUCCGCUGAGGGUUAGUCGGGACCUAAGCCGAGGCCGAAAGGCGUAGGUGAUGGACAACUGGUUGAUAUUCCAGUACCACUACCAUCGUUAUUAUCGAUGGCGUGACGCAGGAGGAUAGUGUGUGCUAGCUAUUGGAUGCUAGUCUAAGCGUUUAGGCAGUGAGAGUAGGCAAAUCCGCUCUCAUAAUGCUGAGGCGUGAUGGGGAAGGUUCUACGGAACCGAAGUACAUGAUUCCACGCUGCCAAGAAAAGCGUCUAGAGAGAGAAGUAGUGCCCGUACCGCAAACCGACACAGGUAGGUGAGGAGAGAAUCCUAAGGCCGGCGGAAGAAUUACAGUUAAGGAACUCGGCAAAUUGACCCCGUAAGUUCGCGAGAAGGGGUGCCUACGAGAGUAGGCCGCAGAGAAUAGGCCCAAGCAACUGUUUAGCAAAAACACAGGUCUCUGCUAAAGCGUAAGCUGAUGUAUAGGGGCUGACGCCUGCCCGGUGCUGGAAGGUUAAGGGGAACACUUAGCGCAAGCGAAGGUGUGAACUUAAGCCCCAGUAAACGGCGGCCGUAACUAUAACGGUCCUAAGGUAGCGAAAUUCCUUGUCAGGUAAGUUCUGACCCGCACGAAUGGCGUAAUGACUUGGGCACUGUCUCAACUGUAAAUCCGGCGAAGUUGUAGUGCGAGUGAAGAUGCUCGCUACCCGCGAUUGGACGGAAAGACCCCGUAGAGCUUUACUGUAGCUUAGCAUUGAGUUUUGGUAUUGUCUGUACAGGAUAGGUGGGAGACUAGGAAACCAGGGCGUCAGCCUUGGUGGAGUCAACCUUGGGAUACCACCCUGACAGUACUGAAAUUCUAACUGGCGGCCAUGAAUCUGGUCACAGGACAUUGUUAGGUGGGCAGUUUGACUGGGGCGGUCGCCUCCUAAAAAGUAACGGAGGCGCCCAAAGGUUCCCUCAGAACGGUCGGAAAUCGUUCGAAGAGUGCAAAGGCAGAAGGGAGCCUGACUGCGACACCCACAAGUGGAGCAGGGACGAAAGUCGGGCUUAGUGAUCCGGUGGUACCUCGUGGGAGGGCCAUCGCUCAACGGAUAAAAGCUACCUCGGGGAUAACAGGCUGAUCUCCCCCAAGAGUCCACAUCGACGGGGAGGUUUGGCACCUCGAUGUCGGCUCGUCGCAUCCUGGGGCUGAAGUAGGUCCCAAGGGUUGGGCUGUUCGCCCAUUAAAGCGGCACGCGAGCUGGGUUCAGAACGUCGUGAGACAGUUCGGUCCCUAUCCGUCGCGGGCGUAGGAAAUUUGAGAGGAGCUGUCCUUAGUACGAGAGGACCGGGAUGGACUGACCUCUGGUGUACCAGUUGUUCCGCCAGGAGCACAGCUGGGUAGCUAAGUCGGGAAUGGAUAAACGCUGAAAGCAUCUAAGCGUGAAGCCAACCUCAAGAUGAGAUUUCCCAUAGCGUAAGCUAGUAAGAUCCCUUGAAGAACACAAGGUUGAUAGGUCGGGGGUGUAAGCAUGGUAACAUGUUCAGCUGACCGAUACUAAUAGAUCGAGGGCUUGACCAAAU